UACGUAGGGAGCAAGCGUUGUCCGGAAUCAUUGGGCGUAAAGCGCGCGUAGGUGGCUUCGUAAGUCCGUUGUGAAAGUCAAAGGCUCAACCUUUGAAAGCCGAUGGAUACUGUGAAGCUAGAGUACGGAAGAGGCGAGUGGAAUUCCUGGUGUAGCGGUGGAAUGCGCAGAUAUCAGGAGGAACACCAAUAGCGAAGGCAGCUCGCUGGGACGGUACUGACGCUGAGACGCGAAAGCGUGGGGAGCGAACAGG
rnacentral:rRNA from 1 species